UACGAAGGGGGCGAGCGUUGUUCGGAAUUACUGGGCGUAAAGCGCGCGUAGGCGGCCAUUCAAGUCAGAGGUGAAAGCCCGGAGCUUAACUCCGGAACUGCCUUUGAAACUGUAUGGCUUGAGUGUCGGAGGGGAUAGCGGAAUUGCUAAUGUAGAGGUGAAAUUCGUAGAUAUCAAGCGGGAACACCGGUGGCGAAGGCGGCCUUCUGGACAGUGACUGACGCU
rnacentral:rRNA from 1 species